GUGGCCGCUUGUCUGAGUAGCUUAACAUCCUUAGCGCAUUCACUGAGCUUCCAGCCCCAAAGCAGAAACCCUACAGAAGAGACACCCUUGACUAGAAAGAUCACCAUUAUACAAUCACAGCUGCCUCUUCUUACACAAGGAGGUGGAACAACUGUGCUAGAACUAAGAUGUUAUUUCUGGAACUACCUUGUCUAUCACUCACAGAUGUUCAGCAGACCUGAUUCCCAGACCCUAGUCUAUCGCCAAAAAAACUAGUUUGGGCUCAACAACAAGCAGACAAUAUGUCUUCUGUAGAUAUUUCAAGGAGCAUAUCCACCUGACUUGUUCAAAGACAAUUACAUUAAAUUAAUCUACCACCAGGAAAGAGAUUCAUUUCAGAAGAUUAUCAGUGAGCCAGCUGUAUGAAUGACACAGUCCAACUAAGCAAGCUGAAAUGCUUGAAUAUACAGGCAAUGUUUCAGGAAUAAUUAUGUUUGACUCAUUAUAUUGGCACAAGGAAGAAGUGACCCAGAGAGUAAAAUCAGCAAUAUCAGAAAUGUGAUGUUGGCAUCUGUCUGUCUCGACAGACAAUGGAGUGUGCCGCCAGGGUGUGAAGCCAAAUCUCUGCAUUAGCAGCACUGAAGUGACCUUGCCGGAACACAAGCCUGAGCAAUGUGUAUGGAAGUCCUUGACUGUCUAGACAAAACCCUGCUCUCAGGCUCACUAAUGUGGUCCAAAGGAAAACAAAAUGUUUGGCAACAGCUUGGAAGCAGGAGUUGCUGGAAGGAGGCAUACAAGGAGCCAUCCAACCGUCUUAGGUACUCCACUCCAGAUUUGUAUAGGGUUUAGAGCCAAUCUUAAAAAUAAGCUUAAAUGUUUACUAAAACAAUCAAUCAAACAAACAAACAAAAAUUUAUUUAACACCCCCCCCCAAAUCUGGCUGGGUUUCCUCAGCCACUCUGGGCAGCUCCCAACAGAAUAAUAAUAAUAAUAAUAAUAAUAAUAAUAAUAAUAAAGCAACAAAACAUCAAACAUUAAAAACUUCCCUAAACAGAAGACAUCUGCCUUCAGAUGUCUUCUAAAAGUCAGAUAGUUGUUUAUUUCCUUGCCAUCUGAUGGGAGGGAGUUCCACAGGGCGGGCGCCACUACAGAGAAGGAAAUCUGACAUGGAAAGUUAGCAAGCAAAACAAAAACAGCUCACCUAUUAG